AUCAGCCAGAUGCUGCUGCUCCUUUCGCUGAAGGUCAGCCAGACACUUCAGCUUUCGCCUCCACUGAAGAUCAGCCAUAUGCUUCAGCUCUGCUCCUUCCACUGAAGAUCAGCCAGACGUUUUAGUUUCUGCUUCUGCUGAAGGUCAGCCAAAUGGUUCAACUCGUUCCACUGAAGGCCUCUGAAGAUCAGCCAGAUGCUGCUGCUGCUCCUUCUGCUGAAGGUCAUCCAGACACCUCAGCUUAGGACCACCUCUUGGCCAUCCACCUGAACUCUGUUUUUGUUUUGGUUCUUGCUGUCUCAUAUUCCUCCUGAUUAGUUCCUGUCUUAGUUCAUUGGUCCACACUCCAUUUCACUCAGUAUUUAAGCUCUCUGGUUUUCAUUGUUCUCCACCAGUUUCUACUGAUGUCAACCCUGUUAUCAUCCCUGGAUGUUUCCUUGUUCUUGUCCUGCCUUGAAUCAUUUCCAGCCAGUCUGUAACUCUUUUGUUUACCAUUACUAAAACUACACAAGAGUACCAUGCUGCUACAUUGCUCGUUCCUGCACGUUGGUCCUACAACAACCUCACACAGCCCGACACUACAGUAAUACAAGAAAAGAGUACAAUACGAAGACAGCAACUACAAUCAUAAUACAAUAAAAAUUGUAAAAUGUCAACAAUAAAAAACAGCAGCAAUAUUCACAAUACAAUCAAAUCUGUCCAAUACAAAAUCAGAAAAAACAAUAAAAUUAAAACAAUACUUAAAACAGCAACAACAGUAAUACAGUAAAAACAGAACAAUACAAAAAUGGCCCAACAAUCAAAGUACAAAAAAACAGCAGUACCAAUCACAGUACAAUCAAAACUGUACAAUACACAAUCCGAAA